AAACAAACUGAGAGACUUUUCCAAAGGAAUCAGUUAGGUGUCUGCAGCGAAGCUUUGGGUGCAACUAGGCCUCGAGCUGCCCGUGAUGUCAAGAUAAAGCGUGACUUACUAACCAUCCCAAGGAUAUUGUAUGAAAGAAUAUAAGAGAAAAGUUAAACUCUAUGUGACAAAAAAUUGUGAGGAAGCUUGCAAGAUUGCAGCCACCUAUAUUCUCAAUUGGCAGGGAAGCUGAGAAGAGAAGAUGACGAGCUGUUUGUGGGCUUCCAGCAGAAGAAGCCAGACUUUGAUUAAGGAAAUAAGUGAUAUAUCAGCUGUUUGUGUGAUCUUUUAAAUUUGAUGUAUUUUCGAGAAUUGCUAUUUUUCUUUCUAUCGUCAUGAUAAAGAUGAGAAUAUCUUUAAAAAAAAUAUUUAUUAAUAUCGAAAACCU